rnacentral:lncRNA from 7 species
UCUCACGCACAAUGCACUGAGGGCACCUGGGAACCCCCUGUCCCAUCUGGCCGACCUUUAGUGUGCCAGGAUGCAUCAGGGCAAGCAUGGCGUCUGGGACUGAGCCGCAGGAGACACCUGACUCUGGUGAUGCUGUUCCUCGCCUCUCCUGCCACUGGGGGAGCAGCAGCAGGACAGGACGCCCUGCUCCACUACCUCUGCCAGGUCACUCCACGCCACCUCCCAAAACUCAGGGCCAAGAGUGGCCACGUGCUCAGGCAGCCCCGGUAACAGCAGCUGCUGCAGCUCCUGCUCAGCUUUGCUGCAGCGGUUGCAGCUGGAGCAGGAGCACCGUGGCCCACGUGUCUGUCCCUCAGCACCUGCAAAACAGGAGGGGCAUGAGCCACAGCAGGAUGGACACUGGAGACAGCCUUUGUCCAUCUGGCUGACCCGUAGUGUGCCAGGUCCUGGUCCACGGUUGGGCUCCUCCCAUGGGUCCACCCAGGCCUCGCAUGCAUCAGGGCAAGCAUGGGGUUUGGGGCUGAACCACAAUAGACUCACUUGACUCAGAAGCUGAUGCUCCACGCUGCACCUCACUCUGGUCAUUGGCAGAGCUGCAGCAGGACAGGCUUCCUUGCUCCACCAGCUCCUCCAGGUCCCUCCAGGCCAUCACCCAGAAUUCAGGACCAGGAGUAGCCACGUGCUGCGGCAGCACCGAUAGCACCAGCUGCUGCAGCUCCUGGUCAGCUUUGCUGCAGCGGUUGCAGCUGGAGCAGGAGCAAGAUGUCCCAGACGUUGGUCUCUGAGCACCUGCAGAACAGGGAGGGGGACUGAGCCACAGCUCGACUGGACACCAGCGACAACCCUGUCCCAUCUGGUCGACCUGAAGCGUGCCAGUUCCCAGUCCAGGGUAGGGCUCCUGGCAUGGGCCCAUCCCUGCCUGGCAUGAAUAAGACAAAGCCUGGGGCUUGGCACUGACCCACAGAGACCUACCUGACUCCGGUGCUGAUGCUCCUCUCCGCCACCAUCUCCUCAGUCGCAAGAGUCGUCUGCCAGCCUGCAGGCACAUGAACGUGGCACUGUGAGGCGCCUGGGAAGCAACCCGCGCAAUCGGUUCCAAAUCCCCC